AGUCUUCUCGAGUCGGCGUGCUCACGAUCGCGCCGUGCGCCCCCACUGAGUUCGGCGUGUACGCACGCCAUGUGAGGAAAUAGGGCGAUGAGUGGCCCCGAUGAUGAUGCCGCCGCCGAAGCGCAGCGUAACGCGCGCCUGGAGACGAGCGAGGAUGGGAACGCAGAGGCACCUCCGCUGGUGGCGGCGUUCACCGCAGGAGCCGUAACAGGUGACUGGCGCCUGUUGCCGUUGCAUGUCCCUGGUGCGGCUGCUGUUGAUGGAACCACAUCUGCCGCCGUGCUGUCGUCUCCUCGCGAGCUGCUCGCACAUCGAGUGCUCGCGACGCAGUACUUCACGGCACCGGAGCGGACGCUGCCAGGCGAGGGUGUCUUCGGCUGCUCGCCUGAUCUUGACUCUGACAAGAACGGCAGGCUGUGCAGAGGAGGCAGUCGCAGCCUUAGCGGGUGCAGCAGUGACGACAUCUUUGAGAGAUGCGAGGGCGGCAUGCCCAAGACAGCUUCGUGGGCAGCCCCGACCGUUGCUUCUCGUCAGACCCUUGCCCCUGCCGCUGCCCGCGUCGACGCAUCACUUGAGCAGGCCGGACUCAUUGACAGUACUGCAGCUGCACACGUGCCCUUCCCGUCGACACUCACACUUGCGGAGCUGCAUGGCACCUCCUUAGCCUCGCCGCGCCUUCCAGGCGUCAACGCCAUCGCUGCGGCGCGGCGGGUGGCCACGUGGUCGGGAUCGUCGGCAGCAACAAGCACCACGCUGCCCCUACCGCCGCCGCCGCUGCCGAACGGCCUCGUUACCCCUGCGCGAGUCGUUUGGCAGGCCAACGAUGCCGUGGUAGAUAAUGAGCUGCCUGCUAGUGAUGCUGCAUUCACGUCGCCGUCAUCGCCACACUUGCCCACCGCCGCCACCGGAGGCGCUUCUCCGUUUGCAAGCGACGCUCGGCGUGCGACCUUUUCGAUCGCUGCAGUAGAAAGCAUAUCCACAGCACCGACCGCUUCCCCUCAUGGCGCUGUGCGCACACAAGCUCGUGCCUGUUGGCCAUUAUCCUCAGUUGUGCCAAAUCCUGAGCAAGGGCACUGGCAUACUGCGCCACCAUGUGAUGGUCGGCACCGCUGGGUGGCGCCUUUGCCUGCACAAGGCUUGCACGCCACCGGUGGGUGGGAGGUAGAGGAGGAGGUAUGGGAAGACAAUAUCUUCGAUGAAGGUGGCACUCUACGCGGGGCUGAGCUGUGUCUGUGGCUACCGCGUCGCGCAGCGGUGUGCUGUUUCGCGGCAGUUCUGUGGCUACGUCGUUUCCUAGGCAGGUGGGGCAUGUGCACGAUGAUCUGCCCUCCACUUGAUAGCGCAAGCGAGAGCGACGGCUACGACAGCGGCAGUGACACGGUCGCUAGCUCGGAGAGCGAGGCGGCAGGGCAGCGCUGUGCCACUGGAGGAACAGCGCAUCUUCUCAGCACGUGGCCGGAGAGGACAGCACUGGUUUACCGACCCUUGCUCUCCGGCUCUCCUACCACGCACUGGGGACGGCGGCAGUUGCAGAGGGCUGGCAUGGCGCACUCGCUGUGUUUUACAAGGGACGACGACCCAGGCAGUGCCAGCAGCGAAGAAGACACAAAUGGCGGUGCGUCAUCUUCGCUUUCAUUGUUGCCGGCACCAUCCUUCAUGCAGUCGCUGCCAGGCGCGACAACAGCGACCGGAAACCGAGGGCAUGGGGAGGGCGCCGGGGAGGGCCGCUGGCUGAGAGAGGCGGCUUCCGCGGACGCCGUGGUAUGGUCGCCAUCGUGCUUCUCGCUUCCUUGUUCUAUAAUAGGUGCGCUGCUGUGUCGAGGCUCUGUCGCCUGCUGCCGUGCGCUCAGUCGUACAGUGUCCUACUACAAUGUGUUUACUUCACAGCACGCGCCGGAGAUGCAGACGUACGAGGUAGGAGCACCCGAUACUGCGAACCGUCACGCGAUGCCUGGCUCGUCGGCGGCAUCACCACCCCCAGCAGAGCACUCGGCCGCGGCGGGGAUCUUCUCUGCAACGCCACUGCCACCUCUGCCGACGAAUGCACACUUGCUGAGGCAACCGUUACUGCUCGACAUCGCGUUCGUCGGCAAGGUGUAUGUGCUCUUGCAGUAUGUGGCGCUCGUACUACUGACCGCCACGGUGGUGCUGCUGGCCGUGUUCUCGUUCAAACGUUCUCGCGUGUCUCACGUGGAGGAUGCGACGGCGUGCAACCGCUACCCCUUCGCUAACGUUAUCCCACCCGACUUGGCCUUUAGUCUGAUCUGUUUUCUGCUCAACGGUGUCUUCGCCGUCCGCUACGCGGUGCGGGCAGUGCGCUACGAGAAGGGCGGCCUCCUCGUCGUGCAGGUCGUCGUUGUUGCGCUGCAGGUGUGCCGCGCUGUCUACUUUCUUCUCUUUGUGGCGCGACGCUGCAUGCGCGUGUCUUCCGUGUUGUUGUCGUCGCCGUUUUCACGGCCGCCUUGGCCGUCGCUGCGCGCUGGCACACGCGGCAGCAUCGCCAGCAUCUUCAGCAGCGGCAUUGCCACUUCUGGCAGCGAAGGCGCGUUUAUCGUCGAUGACCCUGCGCCGGCGGCUGGGUCGGUCUUGCAGCCACUCUUCACCCUCACCUGCGCCAGCGUUGCCACCAGUGUGUCGCUCUUUCUUGCCGCCUCAGUGCUGUCGCCGUGGGUGUACGCAAGUUUCGGCUGGCGGCGUUACGCGCAGGGCAUCGUUCAGGUUUCCUUGUCCCGCGUGCGGCAGAGGCUGACAGUGCUGCGGACGUGCGUGCAGCUGGACGGAGUCAUCACUGCAAACGCGUACCUUGCUACGGUGUUCUUGCUGGACAGCUGGCCGGAUCAACGGAUACUACUGCUGAUGACACUUGCCACCUUUGCGGUGCACUACUUCCUUAUCCCCAUGCUGCGGCGUUCGCGGCACUGGUGGCCCCUUCUGUGCGCUGCAGGUAUGCUGGUGACGGUGAGCGCCUACUACGCAGCCGUGAUUGGGGGUGCGCUCCGCAAGGACCACCGUCUGCAAUCUGUAUCCACCUCUCCCUGGUACAGCGACUGCUACACGGAUCGGCUGCGCAAGUGCCUCUAUGAGAUCUCUGCCGAAUAUCCAGUCAGCAUUUUCCGCGACGCAUCCGCCGUCCACAGUGAUGGCGACUUGCGCCUCUCCUACAACCAGCUUGAGCGAGCUCGGCGGCAGGCGCCGCUAGCGGCGGUUCGUCGACACGCCUCGCCGUUUGAUGCAGCGCACGGCGCACUAUGGCGACACGGCAGCCAAGACGCUCGUGUGAGUUCGGGGUUGACUUCGCCUUGCGUUGCGCUAGCUGUGCCUUCUCGAUCAGCGUUGCCAGUGCGGCGUGUGAACAAUGCGACGGACACGUACUUGCCCACCUACGGUGCUUACCCCGACUACUUCCGCAUACAGGGCUGCAACGCGACCUGCUUCCUUGCGCGCGAGGAGCGCGACAACAUUUUCUUUGAGCGGCGCAUCGCCAGCUGCUGCGCCGAGUACGGGCAGUGCCGGCUCAAGGAUGACUAUCGCACGUACGCGGUACUGCUGCUCUUGGUGCUGAUGCUCUGCUCCUCCGCUGUCCGGGUGGUUUUGUUUGCCGUUGCGUGGCGGAGAUGGGUGGAAGAGGAUGACGUGGCGAUUGACCUCUUUAUCCAGGCGCAUUGUCGCUGCCAUCAUCUCGGCGGGAACUGUCGGCAGCGCCGGUAUCCGCGUCAAGAGCAUGUGCAUCGCCACAGACGUGCUGCUGCUGCUGCUGUGGGUGGCAGUGACCCUAUUUCCCAAUCACCGCGUAGGCCACAUGCGUCGCACGACGUCACCUUUUCAGCGUCCCCGCUGCCGACGCAGAACCUUCCGUGGGAUGUGGAGCAGUAUGUCGCAUGGAGACAGCAGCAGUGCACUGCCGAGAGUACGAUCUGACGGGAGCACGGGCAAUCUUGGUGAGGGGGCCGGGAGAUGACACUCUCUCGCUCUUCUGAUGGGCGGCGGGCGGUGCGAGAACGCGCCGAUGGCGACUUGCGGAACAAGAAGAGGAGACACGGAAUGGGGCGAAGCGAAACGGAAAGGGACGGCCGCCGGCCAUCGCGCGAUUCGAGUAGCCUCUCCGCUGGCACCUCUCCGCUGGCACCUCUCCGCUGGCACCUCUCCGCUGGCACCUCUUCCCUUGCCCCUUCCAUCUGUUGCCCCCCCUCCCCCUUCUCCCGUAUCUUUGUCGUCCCUCCCGCCUCCCAGUCUUCGCUUCUCGUACCUUUCACGUCGCACUCCAACCAUCACCGCUCCGCGCUCACAUGCGUUUCACCUUAUAUAUUAUUCAUGCUUGCUUGCGUAUGGCGCGCUGCUGCUGCUCUGUUUCUCUCGUGAGGAUACAGAGGCUGCGCAAGUCCUGACGCAACCACUCUUCCACCUUCUCUUCAUCCAGUAUCUAUGCGUGCUUAUGUGUUGACCGCAUGUACGCCAGCGCCCCUCCCCCUUCUUCACCCCACCAUGGCGUUCCCUUAGUUUGGGUGCACUGUUGGUGUUCAACCGCACGCAUCCACAGCAGCCACUGCACCUCCCCCCCUGCCUGCCGCGUCGUCGCACUUCACAUCCUCUUGCCCCUCUUUCUCCUCCCUUCAUCUCUUUCACUUGUCGUUUGUGUUUUGCUCGUGCCGUGACCUUGCGUGAAAG
rnacentral:misc_RNA from 1 species